GACGUAGGGCGCGAGCGUUGUCCGGAUUUAUUGGGCGUAGAGAGCUCGUAGGCGGCUUGUCGCGUCGUCCGUGAAAACUUGGGGCUCAACCCCAAGCUUGCGGUCGAUACGGGCAGGCUAGAGUUCGGUAGGGGAGACUGGAAUUCCUGGUGUAGCGGUGAAAUGCGCAGAUAUCAGGAGGAACACCGGUGGCGAAGGCGGGUCUCUGGGCCGAUACUGACGCUGAGGAGCGAAAGCGUGGGGAGCGAACAGG
rnacentral:rRNA from 1 species